GAUGAACGCUAGCGGCAGGCCUAACACAUGCAAGUCGAGGGGUAGAGUUAGCUUGCUAACUUGAGACCGGCGCACGGGUGCGUAACGCGUAUGCAAUCUACCUUGUACAGAGGGAUAGCCCAGAGAAAUUUGGAUUAAUACCUCAUAGUAUCUUUACCUGGCAUCGGGUAAUUAUUAAAGUUCCAACGGUACAAGAUGAGCAUGCGUCCCAUUAGUUAGUUGGUAAGGUAACGGCUUACCAAGACAAUGAUGGGUAGGGGUCCUGAGAGGGAGAUCCCCCACACUGGUACUGAGACACGGACCAGACUCCUACGGGAGGCAGCAGUGAGGAAUAUUGGUCAAUGGACGCAAGUCUGAACCAGCCAUGCCGCGUGCAGGAAGACGGUCCUAUGGAUUGUAAACUGCUUUUANACAGGAAGAAACAACUCUACGUGUAGAGUCUUGACGGUACUGUAGGAAUAAGGAUCGGCUAACUCCGUGCCAGCAGCCGCGGU
rnacentral:rRNA from 1 species